GUGAGUAACACGUGACUAACCUGCCCUAGAGUGGGGGAUAACCUCGGGAAACCGGGGCUAAUACCGCAUAACAUCGCGAGGGGAAGAUCCUUGCGAUCAAAGGAGCAAUUCGCUCAAGGAGGGGGUCGCGGCUGAUUAGCUAGUUGGUGAGGUAACGGCUCACCAAGGCGAAGAUCAGUAGCCGGCCUGAGAGGGCGCACGGCCACACUGGAACUGAAACACGGUCCAGACUCCUACGGGAGGCAGCAGUGGGGAAUUUUGCGCAAUGGGGGAAACCCUGACGCAGCAACGCCGCGUGGAGGAUGAAGUCCCUUGGGAUGUAAACUCCUUUCGAUCGGGACGAUUAUGACGGUACCGGAAGAAGAAGCACCGGCUAACUCUGUGCCAGCAGCCGCGGUAAUACAGAGGGUGCAAGCGUUGUUCGGAAUUAUUGGGCGUAAAGGGCGCGUAGGCGGUGCGGUAAGACUGUGGUGAAAUCUCCGGGCUCAACUCGGAAAUUGCCGCGGUGACUGCCGUGCUGGAGUGUGGGAGAGGUGAGUGGAAUUCCCGGUGUAGCGGUGAAAUGCGUGGAUAUCGGGAGGAACACCUGUGGCGAAAGCGGCUCACUGGACCACAACUGACGCUGAGGCGCGAAAGCUAGGGGAGCAAACAGGAUUAGAUACCCUGGUAGUCCUAGCCCUAAACGAUGAUUGCUUGGUGUAUCGGGUACCCAAUCCCGAUGUGCCGGAGCUAACGCGAUAAGCAAUCCGCCUGGGGAGUACGGUCGCAAGACUGAAACUCAAAGGAAUUGACGGGGGCCCGCACAAGCGGUG
rnacentral:rRNA from 1 species